AACGAACGCUGGCGGCAUGCCUAACACAUGCAAGUCGAACGAGACCUUCGGGUCUAGUGGCGCACGGGUGCGUAACGCGUGGGAACCUGCCUUUAGGUUCGGAAUAACUCAGAGAAAUUUGAGCUAAUACCGGAUGAUGUCUUCGGACCAAAGAUUUAUCGCCGUUAGAUGGGCCCGCGUUGGAUUAGCUAGUUGGUGGGGUAAAGGCCUACCAAGGCGACGAUCCAUAGCUGGUCUGAGAGGAUGAUCAGCCACACUGGGACUGAGACACGGCCCAGACUCCUACGGGAGGCAGCAGUGGGGAAUAUUGGACAAUGGGCGAAAGCCUGAUCCAGCAAUGCCGCGUGAGUGAUGAAGGCCUUAGGGUUGUAAAGCUCUUUUACCCGAGAUGAUAAUGACAGUAUCGGGAGAAUAAGCUCCGGCUAACUCCGUG
rnacentral:rRNA from 1 species